GGGAAAUGUAACUUGCCCAAUAACACGGCAGAAACUACAUAGGACUCAACUACCGAAAACAAAUUAUGUGCUCAAGCGCCUCAUUGCAAGCUGGCAGGAAAAGGACCAAAAUUCAGCUCCUCUUCAUAGGUGCGAGCCUGAAAAUCAACCAGUGAAGAAACCAGCUCCACGUACUAGUUUACGAGGCCUAGGUUCUUUAGAUGGAACCAUCAGUAAGCUUUGUCGUGCAAUAACCAACCUCUGUACAUCA
rnacentral:misc_RNA from 1 species